rnacentral:misc_RNA from 1 species
UUUCCGUAGGUGAACCUGCGGAAGGAUCAUUGUCGAAGCCUGCCCAGCAGAACGACCCGCGAACUUGUAUAACCAACCGGGGGCAGGGGCGAUCUCGCCCCGUGCCCUCGAACGGCAGGGCGGCACUCGUGCCUUCUUGUCGAACAACAAGCCCCGGCGCGGUCUGCGCCGAGGAACUUCAAUUAAAGAGUGCCUCCGGUCGCCUCGGAAACGAUGCGCGUGUCGGAAGGGAAUCUUGUAAAAUACCAUAACGACUCUCGGCAACGGAUAUCUCGGCUCUC